rnacentral:misc_RNA from 1 species
AGACAGAUACAAGUAAAAUAAAGGUUGUUGUAAUAUCAUUAUAUACAUCCUUAUUUUGAAGAAAAAUAUUGGCAAUUGCCAUUUAGAGCUAUCUUGAUUUUUUAUCUUCUCAUUGUGGGUUCAUCUGAUUGUUGGCCCUUUAUGUUUUUCUUCUGAUGCUUCUUUCUUUAUUUUCAAUUUAGAACAAUGAUGAAGGCUUGGGGA